rnacentral:rRNA from 1 species
UACGGGGAUGGCAAGCGUUAUCCGGAAUUAUUGGGCGUAAAGAGAUGCGUAGGCGUUUUAUUAAGUCUUAAGUUAAAUCCUAGAGCCUAACUCUAGAACUGCUUAGGAAACUGAUAGAAUUGAGGAAAGCAGAGGAAGAUAGAAUUCUCCGAGGAGAGGUAAAAUUCGCUGAUACGGAGAGGAAUACCAAAUGCGAAGGCAAUCUUCUGGGCUUUUCCUGACGCUAAGGCUCGAAAGCGUGGGGAGCAAAACGG